rnacentral:rRNA from 1 species
GAGUGAACGCUGGCGGUAGGCCUAACCCAUGCAAGUCGAACGGCAGCCCAGUAAGAGCUUGCUCUUACGGGUGGCGAGUGGCGGACGGGUGAGGAAUACAUCGGAAUCUACUUUUUCGUGGGGGAUAACGUAGGGAAACUUACGCUAAUACCGCAUACGACCUACGGGUGAAAGCAGGGGAUCUUCGGACCUUGCGCGAUUGAAUGAGCCGAUGUCGGAUUAGCUAGUUGGCGGGGUAAAGGCCCACCAAGGCGACGAUCCGUAGCUGGUCUGAGAGGAUGAUCAGCCACACUGGAACUGAGACACGGUCCAGACUCCUACGGGAGGCAGCAGUGGGGAAUAUUGGACAAUGGGCGCAAGCCUGAUCCAGCUAUACCGCGUGGGUGAAGAAGGCCUUCGGGUUGUAAAGCCCUUUUGUUGGGAAAGAAAAGCAGCAGGUUAAUACCCCGCUGUUCUGACGGUACCCAAAGAAUAAGCACCGGCUAACUUCGUG